AGAGAAAAACUCAUUUUCGCCAAUUUAAUUUCAUAUUUUUUGAUAAAGCUGUAGUUAAGCUUUUCUCUUUUCUUUUUUUCUUUUUUUUUUUUUUCAGAAGAGGUGGUGAGUGUGUGGCUGACAGCAGGGGCUCUGGUGCAGGGUGACCUGAUCCAGUCCUGAUGAUGCCAAUUUCUACACAAGCAACCACCUUUCUGUGCCUCUGUGUUUUCAUCUGCAAAAUGGGGACGGUGAGGUAGUAGUGCCUGUGUUUUGGAGAGUAUAUGAUUUAAUACACAUGGAGUACGGGGAACAGCGCCUGGCCUAAAGUGAGUCCAAGAUAACAACGGCCUUGUUUCAUUACACGUGGUCCUGGCUGGGAAGAAAAGACACCACAGUUUGAUAAGAGGGGCCUUGGGGGACCUGACCUGGGCCCUGGGCCUGGGCGAGGAGGUGAUGAGGACACAGGAGAAUCCCCCCAAGGAGGUGACAUUCAUCUGAGAUGUGACAGGUGACGAGGCUCCUGGAGGUAACUGGGUGAGGAUGGGGUUGGGGGUGGGGGCACAUUCUAGGAGGAGGGGCCAGCACGUGCCAAGACCUUGAGGUUCCGGGAAGCCUGGUCUGUCCAAGACCAGCGGAGAGGCCAGUGUGGCCAUGACCGAGUGGACACAGGGGUGAGUGGUGGGAGGUGGGACUGGACGGGGGCAGGGACCUGUGGGGGUUUGGUCCAAGGGCAGCCUCUGAGGUUUGAUGGGUCCGAUCUUUCUCUUUGGACGUCCCCAUGGGAGGGCCUCCUUGUCUAAGGCUGAUCUUUUCCUCCCCAUUCCCACCAUGGCCUGUUUCACAGGUAAGAACCCGGGUGGGAGGGGAGACCUCUGUUUCAGGGCCUUGGCCACAUCUCAGGAGAAAAUCUGUGAAGACUGAUUUUCAGGAAAUGCUUGGCUGGGAACUCUGCCAUGGGAAGCAGGGGUCUGAGAGCCAGGUCAGCGAUGCUGUCUUGUACUCGUGACUGAACUGGAGGCCGGGCAGCCAGGAGAAGCCCCAGGACCCUCCUGAUUCAUGCGGGCCUAUGCAGGAACUGCCAGGGGUCAGAAUGAAGGCAUCUGGCUUCGGGAGCAUCCAGUGGGAAGCAGCCCAGGCUGGGAAGUGCAGAUUUUACCGGAGCUGUAGGUUUUCAUGAGGAACCUGGGGGUCACUCAGGCAUCUCCCUGCAAACAGCUGCCUGCCCACGGUGAACAUCCAGGGGUCAGGUCCCAGGGCUUCUCCUGGCUUCCCUGCCUCCAGUUCAGUCCCAAGAACAAGAUGGUGUCACUGACCUUGCUCUCAGACACCCGCUUCCCACAGCAGAGUUCCCGGCCUGCCUGCAAAGUGCUAACCACACUGUUGGAAUUCCUCAGGGGUGAGCACGAGCCUCUCCGUUUCAUCUGUGCCUAUCGUGGACACAUUAACUAUUUCAUGAAGUAACACAAGUAGCAUCUGGAGUAAAAAAAUUAACUAAAAAUAGGUGAAACAGUGAAAUUCAGUGACAAGGAUGCUCAUGAAUAAUUAAGAGGCCGACACAGGACCACGUUUUAAGGAGAUUCUCAUUCCUAAGCCUGUUGCUUUUCCCUGCACAGCACAAGCAAGACCUGAUUUCCCAGCAGGAAGGUUGUCUUAAUUAAAUCUUAUUUGUCAAGAAGGCAAGAUGUAUUUGUGUUUCCUCAGGCUCCCAUUAUUAUAAACUUCGCAAUGUUUUCUCUGAGAAAUGCUCCUUUUCUGCUCAAAAGAGCUGAUUGUUGCUGUUUUUCUCUCUUCCAUUGUGAGAAGGAAAUGCUACAAGUUCUUUGUCAGGUAAUCAAUUAUCCUCCUUAAAGGAUCCCUGAAGUGUCAUUUGAAAAUUAUGGCUCCUGAAAAAUAAUAAAAUGGCCACUUUAACAUAUUGUUGCCUGUCAGAGUGAGUUUCUCUCCCCUGCAGAGUCACAGAGCCUGUAAAUUGCCCGUGGUAAUGACCUCUGGCUCCAAAUGCAGUCACUGGUCUCUGCACAGAUAGACACUGUCUGUCACUUCUGGGGUUUCACUGUUGACGCUGUGUCUCUUUUAGCUUCUAGGAAGCCCUGUAAUGAUGCUGUAAUUAGCAAUGCAUCCUUCCCUCUCUCCCAACUCCAAUUGCUGUAAUUUAUGUCUCUCAACAAUACUUACACCAAGCACGCCAUCUGUACCACUGUGUGGGGAAGGAAGUUCUCAGGUUCAAGGUCUCAGGGAGAUAAACACAAUUUUAAGUUCACAGACAUCCUCAGCAAUCAACAUCAACUACCACACCAAGAAAGCAAGACCUUGGUAUUGUUGGCGAGUAGCAGGUAAUUGAUGAUCUUGUCAGCAUGAUCUACUGUCCCUGAUCUGUAUCAAUAUGAAAUAAGAAACCAUUUAAGAGGUGUCAGGAAAACAUGUCAGGCCCCCCUCCUCCUCCUCCUACCAUUUGACAUUGACUCAUUCACAUAUAAAAUUGAGUCUUUGUGAUGGUGAAGUGUUAAAGACCCCGUGUAGUCAAAUUACUAUCAUGAAACCAGUGAGUGGAAACAAGUUAUUAAAUGUCCCUGGUUCCUCCUCAUUCAAACAGGUGGAAGAAAACAAACAGAAAGCUUAGAUGCAAAUGUGACUUCAUGCCCAAGUGUUCGUGAGAACCAAUAUACGCCAAGAAAGAGAAAGCCGGGUGGUGCCCCAGAUAAUUCGGGUGAAAAAGACUUCUACCAGAAAAUCAAAGACAUCCAGGCACAGCUUGAGGAUGCAGCCGUAGUCCAUCCAUCGUGUCUUCUUGUGAAUGAGCCUCAAGUUUCUUAGCAACACAGGACACGCUAAGUGUCCCUGUGACAUUCAGUGGAAAUGUUGAAGCAUCACUGAAAUUCCUUGAGCCAAGGUGCACCUGUUCAGGUCUCAAGACCUUUUCUGAGAGCUGGGCAGACCACCUUCCCUCACUGGGCUUCAGCUUCCUUAUUUAAAACUACACAUUCCUUUGGACAUUCCUUGUUUCUGCCCAAUGCAAGAUAAAGGAGAGGUGGCAGAAAAGUUGAACUUGUUUCUGCUGGUGUUCCCGGAAGAAAAAUCUUGAUCUCAGGGCAUCCUGAGGUGUGUCCUUGGGAGAAUGGAUCCUUGAUGUUAUGAAUGAAUUGUGUAGGAAUCGCACCCUCUAAUGGAAAGUCGAACUUUCAGACUCGCCAAAAAUCCAAAAAGAGGGUUCUGAAGUGUAUGUGGAAUCUUCAUGUGUCUUUUUGCAAGGACAUUACUCAUUCAUUCCCAAGGCAUUGGGCCGUUCCACUGUAAUUCACAGUUAGUUGGUUAAUUGCUGGUGUAGACCCCAACAUUUAGAUAUCCUACUUCCUUGCAAGCAGAGCCCUGGUUUUGCUCAGAUGCUGGGAAGCAAUGUGCUCUCUGACACCAGGGAGUGGAUUACCAUUGGUCUGAGCCCAGCAUGGCAGUCUCACUUACUUUUAGUAAUUGGCUUGGAGGGGACAUUGAGUCAGGGCUAGUCAAUGAGAUGUAAUUUGGGAGUCUAUUGGUGGGGGCUUCUGGGGUCUCUAAGGGGAUCUGUGAGGAGCAACUCUCUCUUUUCUCUCUUCUUUAUUCUGGUCAUGGUUCUGAGUGGAUGUCUUGGCAGGUGAGAUGGCAGCCAUCUUGUCUCUAUGAGGGCACAAGGCAGAGGAGAAGGCUGGCACACAGAGGAAGGGAGAGCAGAGCCAGGGGGCAUCAGCAGCAAGUGGCUGAGGUGACCAGCAGGGGACUUGCCUACGUGUGGCUCUCAGACCUUUCCUUAUUGCUGCAAGCAUUUCCCUCUGAGAAGGACCAGCUCUACCCACACUCUACCACUCCAUCUGCAAGCCCAGAGGUGCCCAGGAGUCCCUUGGCCUCCAUAUGAAGCUACCCCUUCCCUGGCCCACACCUCAGCUGACAGGGGCUGAUAGGAAGCUCCACAAUGCUGCGUGAGCCUGGAAAGAUCCCCACCUUCCUGCUCCUAAAGACACACCUUCCCCACCACAUUCCACCCUGAGAGCAUGGAAUUAAUCACCGGAUACCUUCUAUUCCUGUUGAAGUCCAUCUCCUCGUGAAGCCCGCCUCCUGGGUCAUCCUUUGUCCCCUGGACUCUCAGCCCUACAUGACCCAGUGGGAAAUGAGGCCUGAGCCCUAUUUCUCUGGCCCUUCCUGCCCUGUUUCUGUGUCAGUUUCCUUUGUAGCAUUGUCAUUGUCUGACUCAGUCUUUCCUGGGGAUCCUGGAGACAAUCAUCUUAGCCCAGGUCUCCUCACCCAGAGCCAAGGCCAACUGAAAGAGUCAGUGCCUUUGGGGCGCAGUGCCUUCGGGGCAGAUGCAGCCCCAGGGGUCCAGGGUGGGGAAACGGGAAGCGAGGUGGGGAGGCUGGGAAGUGAUGACUGAGCUGAUGACAGCCUCCCAAAGACCCAGCUGGUCACCAGGUCACGUGGAGCAUUUCCAGACAAGCUGUGCAGAAACGCUCCCCACAGGAUGGCCCAUAUGGGGAUGGUUGGGAGGGGCCAUUUAUAGCUAAUCUCUCUUUUUUCCUCUCCCUUGAGGGUGCAGGUUUGCUCUUCAGGGAGUCGUCUCUUUCUUUUCUUUUCUUUUCUUUUUUUUCUUGUUG
rnacentral:lncRNA from 10 species